GGGCCCGUAGCUCAAUGGCAGAGCGCCAGCCUUUUAAGCUGGGCGUUGGAGGUUCGAGUCCUCCCGGGCUCA
rnacentral:tRNA from 2 species